CUCGAAAUGUGUUGAGGCGCAAUAGUUGACUGUACAUCUAGGGGUAAAGCACUGUUUCGGUGCGGGCCACAAGAGCGGUACCAAAUUGAGGCAAAUUUUGAAUAUUAGAUAUAACCUCAAAAUAACAGCGGUCGAAGUUGGUCUGUGAGACGAUGGGGGAUAAGUUUCAUCGUUGAGAGGGAAACAACCCAGACGACCAGCUAAGGCCCCUAAAUGACCGCUCAAUGAUAAAGGAGGUAGGGGUGCAGAGACAGCUAGGAGGUUUGUCUAGAAGUAGCCACCCUUGAAAGAGCGCGUAAUAACUCGCCUUAAUAAUGUUAUCUUCAAGUUGGUUCAAAUAAUGAUUUUUUUAGUAAAUUAUAAGAGAAGGGUAAAG
rfam:Gossypium raimondii chromosome 11, whole genome shotgun sequence.